UCACAUCUUGAUGGUCGGCCCUUGCUGACAUGUGGGGCCGCGCUGCCUUGGCUGGGAAGUGGGCCCCCCUGAGCCAGCGACUGUAAAUAGGAUCUGUCGCAUGCCGUUUCAGAGAUCACUAGCAGCAGAUGCUGUCAAAAGAGGCGCCUUCGAAGAGUCCGCGUCUACAGUGCGCGUGGCCGGAAACAGUCAGAGGCCCCUCC
rnacentral:lncRNA from 1 species